rnacentral:rRNA from 1 species
UACGGGGGGGGCAAGCGUUGUUCGGAAUUACUGGGCGUAAAGGGCUCGUAGGCGGCCAACUAAGUCAUACGUGAAAUCCCUCGGCUUAACCGGGGAACUGCGUCUGAUACUGGAUGGCUUGAGUUUGGGAGAGGGAUGCGGAAUUCCAGGUGUAGCGGUGAAAUGCGUAGAUAUCUGGAGGAACACCGGUGGCGAAGGCGGCAUCCUGGACCAACACUGACGCUGAUGAGCGAAAGCCAGGGGAGCAAACGGG